CGUAGGGUGCGAGCGUUGUCCGGGAUUAUUGGGCGUAAAGAGCUCGUAGGCGGUCUGUUGCGUCGGUUGUGAAAACUCGGGGCUCAACCCCGAGCCUGCAACCGAUACGGGCAGACUAGAGUUCGGCAGGGGAGACUGGAAUUCCUGGUGUAGCGGUGAAAUGCGCAGAUAUCAGGAGGAACACCGGUGGCGAAGGCGGGUCUCUGGGCCGAUACUGACGCUGAGGAGCGAAAGCGUGGGGAGCGAACAGGAUUAGAUACCCUGGUAGUCCACGCCGUAAACGUUGGGCGCUAGGUGUGGGGGUCCUUCCACGGCCUCCGUGCCGCAGCUAACGCAUUAAGCGCCCCGCCUGGGGAGUACGGCCGCAAGGCUA
rnacentral:rRNA from 1 species